rnacentral:rRNA from 1 species
GACGAACGCUGGCGGCGUGCUUAACACAUGCAAGUCGAACGGAAAGGCCCUGCUUUUGUGGGGUGCUCGAGUGGCGAACGGGUGAGUAACACGUGAGUAACCUGCCCUUGACUUUGGGAUAACUUCAGGAAACUGGGGCUAAUACCGGAUAGGAGCUCCUGCUGCAUGGUGGGGGUUGGAAAGUUUCGGCGGUUGGGGAUGGACUCGCGGCUUAUCAGCUUGUUGGUGGGGUAGUGGCUUACCAAGGCUUUGACGGGUAGCCGGCCUGAGAGGGUGACCGGCCACAUUGGGACUGCGGUACGGCCCAGACUCCUACGGGACGCAGCAGUGGAGAGUAUUGCCCAAUGGGCGGAAGCCUGAUGCAGCGACGCCGCGUGCGGGAUGACGGCCUUCGGGUUGUAAACCGCUUUCGCCUGUGACGAAGCGUGAGUGACGGUAAUGGGUAAAGAAGCACCGGCUAACUACGUG